AAGAGGGCUAAACUUUUCGGAAUUCCUGGUGUUACGUAUUCUUUGCCUCUUCACCUCUUUUGUAACUUCCCAUUCCAUUACCAUAAUUUUGGGAAUAUUCAAUAACCUAAUUAAUUAUAGUAUUAAUAUUAGAAGAAACUGUGAAACCUAUGGUGGAUGGUGGAACUGAAGAAUUUAAGGGGCAUGCCAGGAUUAUAACCCCAUGCAUGUUUUGAGUGUACCAUUUGGCUAUUCCCACCACAAGUGAAAUUCCCUUUAGCAGAAACUCCAAGGAAUGAAUGAUGCUCAUUGUAUUGAAUAUGCCCAUUUGAUUUGAUCAAAUGGAAUGAGGUCUAUGGUAGCAAAAGCUUUGAUCCAGAUAAUCCUCAAGACAUGCAAUGGGUUUAUUCGGGU